GGUUUGACGCGUUUGGCCCUCCCGGGUUCCCACUCGGUGUGCGUGCCGACGCGCGUCUGCCAUCCUCGUAGAGAACGUUUCUACCCUUCACUGGGCCGGAUUCGCGAUCUACGUCUUUUACUUUGAAAAAAUUAGAGUGUUUAAAGCAGGCUUGUGCUAUGAAUACAUUAGCAUGGAAUAAUAAUUUAGGACUUUAGUUCUAUUUUGUUGGUUUCUAGAGCUGAAGUA
rnacentral:rRNA from 1 species